rnacentral:rRNA from 1 species
CCUACGGGAGGCAGCAGUGAGGAAUAUUGGUCAAUGGACGAGAGUCUGAACCAGCCAAGUCGCGUGAAGGAUGACUGCCCUAUGGGUUGUAAACUUCUUUUAUAAAGGAAUAAAACGAGGCACGUGUGCCUUUUUGCAUGUACUUUAUGAAUAAGGAUCGGCUAACUCCGUGCCAGCAGCCGCGGUAAUACGGAGGAUCCGAGCGUUAUCCGGAUUUAUUGGGUUUAAAGGGAGCGUAGAUGGGUUGUUAAGUAAGUUGUGAAAGUGUGCGGCUCAACCGUAAAAUGGCAAUGGAUACUGGCAGUCUAGAGUACAGUUGAGGUAGGCGGAAUUCGUGGUGUAGCGGUGAAAUGCUUAGAUAUCACGAAGAACCCCGAUUGCGAAGGCAGCUUACUAAACUGUGACUGACAUUGAUGCUCGAAAGUGUGGGUAUCAAACAGGAUUAGAUACCCCAGUAGUC